rnacentral:lncRNA from 1 species
AAGCCAGCGUGGGAAAUGGGUCCGACGUGUGCUGCAUGGUGAGCAGCGCUGCCAGGCUGCCGCUGGGCCGGGAAACCUAGCUUUGCUCCCUCCCCCAUCGGUCGCCAGUUCCGACCUUUCCGCCAGAGCAGCCAAGAAGUGGCAGCUCCUUUGCCCCGCAGAGCGAUUCCUGUUGAAGAGAAUGGAAUGGGUGGGAAGCGGGUGAAGGGAGGUAAGGGAGGGACCCUCCCUGCGCCCUUGUGGCGGCCUCAGCUCCCUAUCCUCUUCCGCCCCCUGUCUGGGCUCUGACACCGUCCCUCCAGCCUCCAGCGGGUGGGGUGCACUGGGUGAAUGAAGGCGAGCAGCAGUUUCCCCCACCCCCACCCCAUUUCCGCAGUCUUAGUGCCAGUGUCACAAGUGCUCAGCAAUUUCAUUAAAUGGAACCCGGGGACUUAAUCCUCCCAGUAGCAGACCUCACCAGGGGAAUGUGAUAUCCGGAUUCGCUCCCACCCACAGACCCCACCCGGCCUCUCAGACCCCAGGCUGCUUUUAUCUUCUCAACCUGAGAGGCAAGGUUCACGAGGAAAUGGGAUCAAAAAGUGUAACCGGUUGCAAGAAUUUAAACAGUUUGCCCUUGCUUCUGCUGCUGCCGCCGCCGCCGCCGCCACAGCCAUGGCUUGUCUGGCAGACAAAACCGAAAAGGAGUAGUGUUCGAAAGCCUACAUUGAUCAGUAACGGGACGUCAUCAAAUGGAGGAAGCAAAAUGUUUGAGGAAAUAUAGAAAUGUUUGCAAGUCCCGUUUCCUUCCUUUGUUGAUGUUUAAAAAGAAAUUUCCCUCGAUAAACCUAGAUAUGAACUAAACCAGAUACAAAAACGAAAUUGAUUAAAAUAAAAUAUCCCGUACCAAUAAUUGUCUAAUAAAAAAGCUGGAUUACUUUUCUUUGCCAAACAUCGUCGCCCAAACUGAACAAUUCAAAUGCUUUUACAGUUAAGAAUGUCGGGGACGGAGCAGAAAAAAAGAAUAGUUUUCGGGCCCUGAUAUAGCUUGAGCCUUUUAAAAGAAGACUGAACAAAAGUAAGGACAACAAAAGUUUACGUUGAGCCUACGAAACUAGUGCCAGAGGCGGAGUCUCGGGGUUAGGAGGCCUUCAUUUAUAAUAGACGUUCUAUUAUUCACACGAAUACGAGAAAAAGGUUAAAUACAGUAAACAUGAUAGCCAGUCCUGGAAAGAAAUACAAAGCGGGUACAAGGGAAAAGGAGAAAGUGACUCAAGAACUCCACCAAGGGACAAACAGAGGAAAUGACACCCAGCAUCUCCAAAUGCUUUGACCUUUCAUCCUCAAAGAAAGGUUGUCUUCCAGACUUUUCUACAGCUAAUUCUCAGCAUCGUCUCCAAUUGACUGUACUUAAAAAGAGAAGAAAGAACCUAUUCCUAUAGUGUUAUAAACUAAAAGACGGACUUAUAAGAUGCAAAGAGCCCUCAUCCAGUGGCUGAUGGAAGCACAGUCAGACAUCUACAGCAAAACACUGAACUGAACUCUGGAACCCAGUUGCAGAAAAGGAGGAGUGAAGAACAAAGAGGUGGGGACCAGGCUGAUGAAACCCACAGAAACAGCUGACCUGAACAAGGGGAGCACAUGGAUCUCAGAUUAAAGUCUGGGAGGCCGUCAUGGGACUGAUCCAGACCCCUGAACAAGGAUGUUAAUGAGGAGGACUCAGUACUCUGUGGAUCAGUAUUUAUCCCUGGUGUAAGAAGGGACUUUGAGAGCCCACCCCACAUGGAGGGAUGCUUUCUCAGCCUGAAUACAUGGGGGGAGGGCCUAGGCCCUGCCCAGGAUGAUAUGACACACUUUGGGGAACCCCCAUGGAGGGCCUUACCUUCCCUGGAG